rnacentral:lncRNA from 1 species
UGCUGAGACUUUUUUUCAUUAUCAUUCUCUUUCUCUCUCAUUCAAUCACAUGUAUGUACUAGGUCACAAUGUAAAAGGUGUUUCUUAUUGUGGAUCAUAGUUGAAGAUUUUUGAAGCUACUCAGCUAAAGGACUUUCCCUCUGUGAAGCUGUGAUUCUCUAAAGUGGCCAAAGAAAUUAUGCAGUAAGACCCUUUCCAGUUUUCAUCCUGGGUGUUUCUGAACAGGAUUAUAUCUCAUUGAAAUAUUUGCACCUCUACCUACAGACAAGGAAAAGGCUUGGAGCACCUCCAUUCAUUGUGCCAACAGGACCUGAAUGACCACAUCCCAACUGAUGGAAGAGAUGACUCAGAGAUUACAUUAUUCAGGGUUUAUAUUAUUUUUCUACAAAUGAAGCUUAAAGAUGUAGAGCAGAAUUUUCUAACCUGUGGGCCACCAUUCUCUAGGAAGACCAAGGAGCCAUCGCAAGAGAAUUUUAAUUGCACACGUACGUAUACAUUUUCCUCACAAACACAUAACAAAAGUCAACUGGGA